rnacentral:rRNA from 1 species
AUGUACAUGCCUACAACAUACAAUUAAUGCAAUGAAUCCCAUUAGAACUCCACAAUAAAGUGCACUUAGGCUAGAGUAGUACUAGGAUGGGUGACUACUCGGGAAUUCCUAGUGUUUUACAUG